CCCCGCGCUGCUUUCCCGCCUCACCUCAGCGGGCGGCGGCAGCUCCCCCCGCCCUGAGGCGGACAGGUGCGGAGCCCUGGGAGCGGCCGUAGAGCAUAGCAGAAGGCAGUACAGUAACGUAGCAAGAGGACUGCUUCCACAGACAGCUUAGCCGGUGAAGAACUAAAUAGAACACCAAACAGUCACCUCACGGGAGGAUUUAUUAGCAAGGAACUCUUUGUACAUCCACAAAUGCAAUGGGCAACGCAGGUGGAAGCAGUGCACGCCAGUCUCCAUUUAAUCAUUCAGGUACCUCUUACAAACCCUGCUGUUUGUUGGUCUCCACUCUCUAGUGCUAUUGAUUUCAAGACACCGAAGUUUUUCUGUGGAACUCAAAGAGUCUUUUUGUUGUUGUUCAUUCAAAUUAAAAGUGCAUUUGGCAGAUACAAAGAGGACAUCUGGCUUUCCCUGGGAGGGGAGUAGCCCAUCCUGCUUGCUACAGUGGUGAAGAUAUGAUAACAUGACACAAAAGAAUUAAGGUCCCAAGUGAGGCCAUGGAAGCAUGCUGCAGUCUUCCUGGAGGAGUAGGAGUCACAGGAAGUCUGUAGCACUACUCCUAGUGCACACAAAUUCCUUGCUGCCAUAGUUUGGAAGCAGCAGGAAGGUGUAAUGGUCAAAGUCAUGAUCCUGUAGACAAGAAAACAAAACUGCACGUGCUGCAUCCCUUCCUGAGAUGGGACAUCCAAAUUAUUUAUCUGUGUACCAGGAUUUAGCUAGUUAGGAAAAAUUUUUUCAACUGUAGGACUGC
ensembl:lncRNA